rnacentral:lncRNA from 1 species
CGGAUUAUUUGUACUAAAGAUGAUAAGUCCAGAAAAGUGGUCCUAAUAGACCAGGAUACAUACUAUGGGCUCUUGAAUGACUUUAUUAUGCAAUCAAAGUCGGAGAUCCUGAUGUCAGAUCCAACAGAUUCUUUGGCUCGGGCUGUGAAAAGAAUAAGAAGGUCCCCCUUGUUCCCACCACAGUGGCAGUUUAAGGAAGUCUCGGCCCCGUAUGCCCCCCGCUUGUUCGGCUAUAUAAAGACCCACAAAACCCCACUUGGAGUAGGCCCUAUGGUUGAUAAGACUUCGUCACCGCUAUAUACUUUAGAAAAAGCCAUUGCUAGAUGGGCCGCUCCAUAUCUAUGAGGAUACAGCUACACCAUUGAUUCAUCCCUGAUGUUCCUGGAUAAUCUCUUUGAGAAGGGCCCCCUCGCUGACAAGUGUUAUACGAUAGUGGACUUUGACUCACUUUAUCCGUCAAUAGAACAUGCAUCAGCCAAUG